rnacentral:lncRNA from 1 species
AUCGGAGUUCCUGAGUGACUCUUCAAACCAAACCUUCAAAGACUCUGAAGGAGCAGAGGGGACACAAUGGAUCAUUAACAGACAGGAUGAGGUCAGAGAACAAGACAUUGGCCACUUACUCCUUGUGAUGGUACUGAACAAGCAGAGAAGGCAGAAUCCCCCCCACUAUGGAUUUCUCACUCCUGUGAACAAAUGUCCACCCCCUUCCCAACUGCAAGAGGACUCACGCUGCUCUCAGCCUGAGGCAGAGAAGCUCUUCAGUAGAAGGCAGCAGCUAUUGCACAGACUCCUACAUGGUCAGAAUAUGGGGAACAAGAGUGAGCCCUCAGCCUUAAAUGUCUUAAAUCUGUCAUACACACCCAAGGCCCAGGGAACAUUUGCAGAAGGAAGGCAGAAAAACAAAGAAACAAACAAACAAAUAGAAAAACAAGAGCAGGAGGACAGGAAGGGGUGUCAGGAACUGCUUCUGUACAGAUCUAGCAUUGCUGUUGAAACCAUGAGCACACAGCAGCUAUGGAUACCUGCAGAAGACUUGGGCCACAGGAGCUCCCAUCUCUGUUGAAGAACUAAAGGUUAUGUAUGGUUGUAUGUGUGUGUGUGUGUGUGUGGAUGGCUGGGGAGUAUGUUACCCAAUGGAAUAGUCACUGGGAGUGUAGAUAGGAAAAGAGGAAGGGAGAAGGGAAGGAGAUACGAGAGGAU